AAGGUUUGUGACAUACCGUAAAGCUUUUCCUUAUCACCUGUACGCGCAGGUUAAAAUUUUAUAAAGAUAAAAUUUAGCGCAGGUUUAUCUCCUAGUUAUUUUGAAAGAAUGAAAUAAGUAAGCUGAAACCCACAUCGCAUUUCGGGAUCGCGCGUAGUAGGUCUACCUCGGGCCGGGCUAGUAUCUUGUUUACAGUUACAAGGGUACAAACCUGUGCAAGGUUGGCUGCCGGAGUUUCAAAGUCAGUGGUACAAUCUAGCCGGAGACUUCCGGUAUUACCAUACAUACCAGCAACUGAAUAUGCCAAGAAUUACAGUUUUCGGUCCUUCUGGAUCUGGCAAAUCCACGCUAUGCAACAAAUUGUCAGAACUGCUAAGCGUACCAUUCAUUGAACUGGACAGUCUGUUGUGGGAGCCCGGUUGGAAUCCCGCUCCGGAUUUUUUACUGCGCGCCCGCAAUGCUAUGGAAGGCCCAUCAUGGAUAGUUGACGGCUUUACCGUGGAUGGAAACUUUAAUUACAAAGGAAAGCGCAUUACACGCCCGUGCACACCCAUAAUCACACAUGCCAUUUGGCUAAAUUUUCCCUUGUAUGUGGUGCUUUAUCGACUUCUCAUAAGAACCUUUUGGCGAUGGUGGAACAACGAACUCUUGUGGGGAAAAUGCCGGGAAACUUUAUCCAGUGUGUUUGCUUUGAAUGACGACGGUCUUAUUUAUGCGAUGAUUAAAAAUUUUUGGUGGAGGAGGAAAGAAAAGGAAGAAUGGGUUCGAUAUCUUGGAAGUGAAGGAAUUCAUGUCUGGGUGUUUACUUCUCCACAAGAAGUAGAGGAAUUUGUACGUCGCGUGAAGCAAGGCCAUAUUGACCUCAUGCACUGACUCCGGCAAAUAAAAAUGCACAAAAUGACGUUAUAUCUAUAUUACAUGUUCUGCCUAGUAUUAAGUACUUAAGGGGUUGUAGCCAAGCUCAUGAUUAAGUGCCUGCAGCUGUUUACCUUGCCGUAACCUUUAAAUAAGUUCGUGGCAGGUUACGAUGCAUACUAGAUUAUUCUGAUUACGUUUCCGUGUUUUGCUGCAUUUUGGUAUGAAACUGUA